GAACACCAAAACCCACCAAACUCCAGUGAUUUGAUAGCUUUGUUUCCAUUGUCACAUUUAAGGAUAAUAUGCCAUAAUGAAAAGAAACUUAUUCCAAUAGUAACAUCAAACUGUUACCAAGUUAUACCAAAGCAAACACAACAACAAAGCAUAACAACUCCAUAAUAAAUAAAUAAAGAGAAACCAAUGUACUAAUUUUCCCCAGUCCCGACCAAUACGACAUCGUCACUCCGUAUAAUUCAACUGAUCAAACACUUCCAAUCUGCCAGAACUGCAUUUUCAUGUGGCUCCAGUGUACACUCCAACGGUAGACAUUGUGCACAAUCUAAGGUAGUAUCGGGCACCCUGAAGACAGCGGUAGAACGUGUUGGUGCUCGUGCUGUAACUGUUGGGGCGCAGCGGACGAGAAUAGAGUAAAUAUAUUGCACUAAUAAACCACACACCGUAAAUAUUUCCCAGGUAAGUU
rnacentral:lncRNA from 1 species